GUCCCUUUCCCGCUGUCUCAGCCCCUUGACUCGGUUUCUUGAAGCAUCUCUCCUGCGGGAGAGUUCUCCGUGAGUUUAACAUAUCAGGCCCUCUACCGACACCCGGUCAUUCAAUGGCUCUCUACGCUCUGGAAGGCUCCGAUGCCCCUCAAGAUCAAGAUUUUCGUUUGGUAGCUCCUACGUGACCGCCUUCCCUCUGGGACAGAGGUUCUUAAGCGGCACAGCCCAGACGAUGGUCUCUGCCCCCUAUGUCGAGUCCUAGAAACAGGAACUCACAUUUUGUUCUCAUGUGUCGCGGCCCAAGCGCUCUGGCACUUUGUUCAUGAGGCCCUUGGGCCAGAGUGGGAGGCCCUAGACCUAGCUGAUUUCCUGCAGUCUAGGGCCACCCAGACGGGUUGCAAGCGUCGUCUAUUCUGGCUUAUCUUUGCGGCCCUGACAUGGACCCUUUGGACAAAUCACAAUAAAAUGGUGAUUGAGUGGAUUUUCCCACGUCAUGAGUCUGAUUCGUUCUUCAAAUUUCUUGCCUUCUUGCAGCACUGGCACCCGCUCGCUAGGCAGCGAGACGGUGACCGCCUGGACGCCAUCUUGGACGCUCGCGUGGCUUCUGCGCGACGGCUCUCCACCCGCUCGUCGUCUUCUUAG
rnacentral:rRNA from 1 species